GACGGCUGCCAUUGGCUGAGGGAGAGGAUGGAGGUGCGUGCUGCUGAGACGGCCAUGCUGCAAAGGACGAAAGUGAAGCGGUAAAGGACAGGUGACAACACAGAGCACUGCCUUCAUGACCAGGCGCGUCUGCUGUAAAGGGGCAGCGAUGCUCGGCCAAUGGCAUCGGCGCUAUUGAUGACAAGCCCCCGGCCUCGCUUACCUGCGCCCCUUCCCGUCGCUCAGCCCCGUCGCAGUCCCAUCGCUGCCCCGCAGCUCGUCGCAAAGAGCUCCGCUGCUGCAGAGCACCUCCCCGUGAACAAGCAUUCAGACGGAGGAAACCUCCAGCAGAACCGGGCUCAGGGUCGCCGGUUAAGCACCUUGACCAGCGAUGGUGAGAUUUUCUCAGCAUAUCACUUCAACAGCAGCUUAUCAGGAGGAGAAGUCCCCAACUUGACUGUCAGUGCUGAGUUUCAGACAUUUGACCUCUGGAGGUCACCUGGCCAUCACUGGUAUUGGCGAGCCAUUCACCUCUUCACCAUGAGAACGCACUCCAGGCCUCGAUCUCCCAUUUCGUCUUGUCUAACGGUGAUUGUCUGUGUUAUCAGCUGUGCUUUCCACAUGUGUAACCCUUAUCCUUACUGGGUCCAGUUUUGUGUCUUCAUAAACUUCUACAUAUCAAAGCCUGUCCUUCCUCUACCUAGUGAGCAUUUACCCUGAAUAAAUGUGUCUUUUCCUCCACAAACCAAACUUUGUUCCAAAAUUAGGAAUUUCCCUUUUUUCUUUUUGGUAAAAAAGGCAAUUGUACUUGCUCAGCUUUUAAUCCCCCUUUAGCAACGUGAUUGACAAAUGAAUUCCCCACAAUAAAAGCUGCUCUGAGCUGCUGUAAUUCUAAUCAUAAUGAGCACAAUAGCCCGGGCUGCACUACAAUCUGUCUCAUAUAGAUGUGAUCUCCUCUGCUUAACGGCAAGCGAAUGACACAGCCAGAAUUUGAACAGAACAUUUUAUCACUUGUACAUUUUCCAAAAGAACACAGGGUUAAACUCACAGGAAUGGAGGAAAGCGUGUCAGUCUCUCUGGAGUAGACAGAUUUCAAAGCACAGCAGCAGCCGUGAGCCAAAUACCGUUUUAUUCCGAGCAUAGCUGAUCGACACCUCUGGGCUCUGUUGAUUACAACAUUAGGACACAGUUCUCCGCAGCACAUGCCUUAAGUGUCCAUUCACACCUAUUCGUCACAGUUUAUCCCGCCUGACAGCUUGUUUACGUGACAGGUAUUUAUGUUAAAACACAGAGUUCUGAACUGUCUGCGUUGCAAAGGAGAAAAAAACGACCGUCUCUGCAGUUCUCAUAUCCCCUGUGUGUAUUUGCCAGCUGAAGGCCAGACGAUGGAGCAAAGGGCCCCGAAUCCGCCACCUCCAGCUGCAGCAGGGAUCCACAUGUUGACGUUACGGGUGGGUCUCUGUUUUCCGUCUCUCUCUUUGCUCGAGGGGUGCUUUAAAUCCCCCAACUUUGCUAAUGUUGAUGUUCUCCCUUCGCCUUGUAAAAAUCCGAUUAAACUCCCACCCAAACAGAUAAAACAUGCACGUGUGGCUGACGCAGAAAUGAGCUUGAUAUUGUUUCUAUAUUAAACUAAUGACAAAAUCAAGAUGGGAAUUUCCAUCUUUGACAAUUCAAUGCUGCUAUUUUUGUGUGUACAUCUCAUUCGUAGCUCGGCUACUUGCUAUUCCCUACCAGCACUUCCUAUCUAGGGGAGCAGAGGAAAUAAAAGGGACAAUGGCUGUGUGGUGCAUAUGAUUCGAUUUCCAACACUAUUAUACUGUAUAUACAAAAGACACCUUUUUACAGAGUACUGCACAGUACACGCAGUGGAUGAUUUUUUUAGGGAUUUUUAAAAGGAAACUGUAAUUUAGCAUGUGUUUAGAGGGUUUGAGAAGUACUGCUGUGUAUGUGAAGAGAGUACAAAUCAAUUCAGCGAGCGAGUCCAGAGGGGCAGUGUGAGGUCUUUUAUUUGGAAAAGAGCUACUAUAACCUGCUCUCGCUCUCCGCUUGAUGCUUAAAGCUAUUUCUGACCAAUCUGUCGGCGAACACGCUGCAUUGUGGGUAAUAGGUGCCACAUUUGGACAAGGAAGAAGUAUGAGUGGAAUAUAAAACCUCUACCUCCAGUUUUGCUACAUUGAUUUUUAUCACUUUCGUUUUCUCACAUCGGGUCUUAAAUGCAGGACAUGAAGUAAAGUGUGUCCAGUGUGUAUGUACAAAGCCUGUUUAUAGACUAGGCAUAUUCCCCAUUAUAAACACUCCUAGGUAAGACAUGGGAAGAGAUAUACAGGCUGUCCAGAGUAGAGUGAAUAAGAUGACAGUGAUUUGUUCUUUAAAGAAGCAUUUUGUUCAAAGUACAGUACAAAAACACGGCAAGGUGAACUUCACAGAAAAUAGGAUUCUUUUGGUUGAAAACAGUACAAAAAAUAUUUAAUAAAAAUAUUUAUUUUGAGAAAAUAUCUCAAAAUAUUUGAGAACAACUGAUUUAAUAAGAUCAGCACAAAAAACAAGGGCAGACAGCAAAAGUGUACAGUUUAAUACAGUGUCUCAGUUAGGUCUGUGUUUAUGCCGAUGUUUGACAAAUGACUAGUAUGAGUAUUUGUGACACAGCUACACUGAUGUUUUUACAACCCAAACAGGUCACCAGUCCAUUAGUGGGUCACAUACUCACAGGCAACCACUAUCUCUCACACGUGGGGAGAACAUACAAAGUCGACAUUUUAUCAUGAAAGCCAUAAGAAAAUCAAUUUACCUUAGAUCUCCAAAUAUCCUAACGUUGUUUCUGCACCGACGUUCCGUCUCUUUGCUCGCUCCCUGACAAAGUUGUUUUAUAACAUUUGCUGUAUAGCAUACUAAUAUCAGUUUUCUUUGUCAGUGUAUUUUGAGUGAUGUAAGUGACAUAAACCCAUCCGGGUGGCUUUAGCGGACGCAAGGUUGCUAUGGCAACCAAGGGGCACUAUAGCCAGAUUAACAAAUGCUAAGAAGAAACUGCAAACAGAUUUUUUUGCAUCACACUGACUUGUUUCACAUGCUUCCCUAUCAACAAACUGUUAUUUUACUACUUGUUUAUGUAUUUGGCCAUAGUAAAUAACCAGCAUUGCACAAAGAAUGAAUUAUGAAAUCCGGCAUGAGUGAAAAGUCCUGGUUUAACUUAGUCCGAUUGACUUAUCCUGCCUGGACCUAUUCUAUUAAACUGAUCCUGGCUUACAAAGACAGCACUGAAUAAACAUCUGGAUGCUAUCUGAAUGGUCCUGCUCCUUAAGUUCAACUGGAAUAUUGGGAAAAUUCCAUUUUUAUGCAGUUAUGUGCAGCCCUCAGCAUUCAGUUGUCAGUUUCCGUCUGUGUAACUGAGAGAUUUAGAACAACAAACAGCGUUCAGUCACCAUGAGCGCUUCAAAGUCUUUCAACCACUAUAAUACGAUGACGUGCUCCUGACGACUGAAGCUCAGCGGCUGUUUACCGCUGCCUUGUGUUAGAAGUAUGACUUGUGCUAAUCAGCCUGAGAGCCUUUUGUGAUGUUGACCUACAGUGGGAAACAGCAUGUGGCACCUGUAUGAGAUGUGAACUAAAUGUAAACCAGGUCUAUUUGUAGCAGGUACAAAUGGUUCCUGCAUUGUGUUCCCCUACAGUACGUGCAUGCAGAUUAUUCAUUAUUCAUUGUUAUUGUCUUCGCCACCGCAGAGGUAUUUAUCAACGACAAAGGUUAUCAAAGCCUCAAAUGUAUGAAAUAAUUGAUGUGACAGUUGAUGCAGACAUUAAUUAUUUAUUCCUGUAAAUUAAUCCAUGGCUGUAAUACAGAGAACUGUCAUAAGGUGAAUAAUGCCUGCAAUCAAUCAAUCAGUCAAUCAAUCAAUCAAUCAGGGCUUUUAAAUGCCUGGCAAGAUAUUAACUUUUAAAAUACUGCAGCUGUAACAAUGCAAAGUAAAGGAGAUUUACAUGUAAAUGCAUUUCUAACUGGUUUAAACUUUGUCACCGAGACACAAAAACAUCACAAAAUCAUCAGCAAUUAAUCAGCAAUUAGCAAAAUGGCAUCACCAUAAAUUAACAUGUGGCCAUAGUGGUUUUUUACCCAAUCAAGAAGACAAUUCUCAUUACCCUCAUGUGAAAGAAUGAGCUUUGGCUGCAGAGAGUUAAGUUGCUGACUUUUAACAUCAGGCAGACGUCCUUGAUUCACCAACAGGAUAAAGUCUUAACUCCCCUUUUCUGUCUGAGAGUAAUGAGAUUAGAGCAGCUAAGGCGCGGUGUGACAGGCAGGAUUCCUGUGGCUCCUUUUCAUUUUACACCGUUCACGCUGAACCCUCCUCCCUUGUCUCAUUCAUCAGGUCAUUAUAAAAGGAGGAGAGAACAAAAUGGUCAAGGCGUGAGCCCCGUGUGCUCCGUUCCUGUUAGACCCACAGGCCGCCGUGGUGCAGCUGAUCCCCGGCUGCAGCGGCUUUAAAAACUGGGUGGUGGAGUUUCCUUCUGCACGACACAUGCAAAUAACUACAGAAAAAAAAACAACUCCUAUUCGACUCACUGUGAAUAACAUGUUGGGGAGCAGGUGAGCUGUCGGGAGUCUGGCCACGUCUCGUAAACCAGAAUGUGAGAGCCGGGAACGAGGCCUGAGGACGCCAGGCUCCCGUCCAGUCAGCGCCUCUCUGCACCACACAUCCAAAAACUGCUCCUCAUCAUGUUCUCCUCCUCCUGUUCCACACUCCCAGCUUUCUUUCGACUUUUACAAGUAAUUCCAGAGUUAGGUUCAGCCUGCGUUGUGCUGACGUGCGGGUUGCAGAUUCCGAGAGGAGCCGACGGUGAGACGCAAUCAUGGAGACAAACUGUCAUUUGCAUAUCAUCACGACGUCGCUUAAAUCGCAAGCGGGGGCCGACUUUGCUGGACGCGAAUAACUGGGUGGUUUACGUUUUCAUAACAAGGCGCUCCGCACACGAUGGAGUCACACGAUUAAUCAGACGCUUGUGUUUACCGCAUUGGCUGGAAGCAAAGCAGCGAGGCCAGGAUUGGAACAAAGUCCAGAGCUGCAAAAUGAAUUGGCAGCAACCAGUACAGUCUUAUCAUCAGGUAAUGAAAACAGACCUGCACUGGUCUGUAAAACCCCCCUCCUCACUGACAUUUUAAGCCUCUUCACCACAAAGCUCAAUAUUUUAUUAAUGCUAAGGCCGUCAAAGUCAGAGCUACACAUUCCCUAACCUUUCAUAAAUGCCAUAAGUCACAAUCUAAAAAUCUUACACUUCUUUGAGUGCUAUUAAAAUACAUUUUCAGUUCCAGCUGUGGGGAUGGUUGGAAAGUUUGGACCAGACAGAACAACAGCUGCCGUCACUGUGAGGAGGUGCAGCCGGAGGCCACAGCAGCCUGGCCGCUCUACGACGGGGUCUGUGUGGAUGUUGGCGGUGAUGUUUGUCGUUCUCUCGUUUCCUCCGCUCGCAGACGCGCGGAAGACACGUGACGAAGGGCGUAAACAGCAGUGCUGCUGGUUUACACUGAUCUAGAAUCAGCGCCUUCUGCAGGAUGCGGCAGCUUGAGCUUUUCUAAUUGAAGACAAGGAAAGCACCUGGCCGGCCCUAUAGUGAAAGGCAGAUCAGCUUCUGUUAAAUAGGGGAAUACAUGUCUACAGUACUUUGCUAUUCUAGAUUAUUAAGUAAAAUGUUAUAAAUUAUGCCAUAGAAUAAACACACUGAGUAGAAAUCUCCAUUGUGUUGCAUCUUUGGUAGAAGCCAGAUGUUGCUUCCCGAGGCGUGUAAAUGUUUUAUACAGACGUUUUCGGGCCAUUUCUUAAAGGUGAAGGUCACUCCUGAGAUGGAUCUAUAAUUCUGGGGUUGAUCAGGGUCAUAAUGGCUUCUUUUUUUUAAAGGUGUUGAAUAGAUGUGUGAAUGUCUUGGGACACAGCCGGAGAGGGGGGAAUUAUUCAUGAAGGUAAGCAAAGGGGAGUCAAUAGCGCUGCCCCCAGGAAUUUAGAUGGCACAGAGUCAAGAAGCCCAGCACGACAAUGGCUCCAGCGAGUCCUCCAUCAUUAGUAGUUAUAUUUAUAUAAUUGUCUCUAGCCUUUGUUGCGACCGGUUUUAACAAGGUAAGUGCUUUAAUUAUAGGUGGCCAUGAAAUGUUCCCCGCAGCCUCUGACCGUUAUCAAACAGUAAUAUUAGUAUUUUUUUUCCAGUCAUAUUUUACAGGAGAACGGUCUCAAACCAACUAAAGACCCGAAGGAGAGAGCGGCGCAAUCAGCGCCUUGACUGCUGUGACCCCACUCGCUGCCUGAAACCGCUUUAGCCCAGCGUCGUCUCCUUCUCCGUGGGGCUGAGCUCUUCAUCUUCAUUCAUGCUCGCUCAUGUAAAAGUCUAGCGCUCUGGGCAGGUGUUCCAAUUAGCAUGGAGUGAUAAAUAUAUUCCAGCACAUGCAGACACAAAUAGCCAUAGCGUCCACUUAUGUCCUAAUUGGCCUGAGCCGCGUUUCUGAGUGUGCGAGCUGAGGAAUGCUCCUGUCUUGUGCUGCUCCCCAGCUGUGCUAAUGGUGGAGAAACAAAUACAGUCUUUAUUGUACAUGCUUAUGAUUGUAUGUACAGGUCUGCACAUUGUGCUCUGCUCAGACGAGACAAUAUUUAUUUUACGGUUACUUUUCUCUCUUUCAUUUUACCCAUAAUGAUUUACCGUAUCUCGGAAGACCUCAUAGGACCAUAAACGCCUCAUAGAACCUCCCACAUGUAGAAUGGGAGGAGCGCAUCUGACCAGCUCGCAGUGCAGGAGGCAGACCCGUCUCUGUUUCUAACACUAGUCCAGCUGCUGUAGACUGUGGAUGCAGAGGUCGUCCCUUCGCUCUCUCCGUCCCACACAUGCACACAGUAUGUCGCCAUUGAAUGCACCGCUCUCGUUGCUGUUGGCAGAUGAUGCAAUGAAUGAAGUUAGGCAACGGGCACGUGCACUAUGCCUUCAACUCAGACCAGGAUUAAAGGCUCCAUGCUCCUUUAUGUUAACCUGUGCACACACUUGCUGUAGGAUAAUACACUAGCUGUCAGUCUUUACUUGAUUGGAGACAGUGUGAUCAGGAGGAAUAAGUUAAAACUGAGAUAAAGUUUUAUAUUUUAGUUUACCCACUCUGCAGUUUCUCUAAGCUCUACAGUUUGUAGAUGGAGGAUUUAUUAUUGUUAUUAUACCAGCAUUUCACAUUUUCAUAACAACUCGUACAUUAUUCAUUACUACAUUAUUCAAUAUUCUUUACUUUAAAAGCAACUGAAUUCCUGGAACACGCUGGGAACUAAUCUACUAUACUGCAUUGUUUGCUCUUACACUACUUAAUAUUAUGAAUGUCCCCAUAUAAUUAUUGGACAAACAAAAACAAAACAUCUAUUAUCAACUAACUGAGCCCCAUCUGUGGUCAACGUGCCAGUGGGCAAGGCACCGGGUUACAAAUUGCUCCUGAAGGUUUGGCUACGAGACUAAUACGCACACACACAAACAUAGCAGCCGUGCGUGCGCGGACCCGCGGCGAUAGCUCUGCUUCUGCCCGCUGAUGUCACAUGUGGCUGCAGCGGCGGGGACCCACUCAUAAGUGAUUGUGGUUCAUAAACAAGGCUGGUGCCGCAGCUUUGAUAACCAACCUGGCAACGAAGGAGCUGCGCUGUUGUCUGUCUGUAAUAUGGAAGUUGAUGAAAUAUUUUGGUCUCAGUAUUGUCUCAUUACACAGGGCCAUCUGUACGUCAAUAUUCCUCUGCUAUCGCUAUCAUCGGAGUUUACAUCCAUUCUCCUACUUGGUGUUCAUGUGAGGAGAAUAAUUAAUAAUUAAUAUUAACCACUUGUUGUAAUUUCGUACAAAAAUGAAAGUCGUAUAGGAGCAAAAGGGACAAAGGGAGUAGCUGCAUUAAAGUUCAAACUGUGAUCGUCAGUCAGGCAGGUUGAUUAAAGAUUAGUUGUGUCAAAGGCAGUGACAACCGGAAACAAGCAGCUGGGACAAGCUAAAUACACAGGAGGGGAAAUGGACGGGCGCUUAAUGGACUGUACCAACGUUGGACUGAGACCAGAGGAGCAAAGACGACAAACAGCCAAGAGGUCAAUCAGAACCAGAACGAGUAAAUCUGUGCAUCAACAGUAAAGAAGUGGCAGUUUGUGACAUUUGUGCUUUUCUGGUAAAAGCAUGUCGGAUGUUGAUGUCAAAUGACUUACAAGGGUUUUAAGUGAUUGUGUGAUUGGUGUAGAGAUUAGUGGCACUGGCAGACACUAAUUAGUCCUAAAAUAUGUGCCUCCUACAUCUUAAUUCAUCAUAAACACUGCAGGUGAGACUUCCUGAUAAAACCUGUUCUCUGGAUGAUAGAGAUAAUAAAGGAAUAAAAUAAACAUUUGAACCAUGACCUCACAGAUCUCCACUGGUGGUGGAGAAGAAGGUGUGAUGUUUCUCCACAGCCUGUGCUUCAUUUCACUGAGUGAAUGAGCCUUGACUAUCUGCCUUGCUCUUUUGGGUCCACAUUUUAACAACAACGAGAAACCGUCGAGUCGAGGAAAUAAAAAGAAAGCAGCAGCUGGGAAAGGGACGCGACGCGGCGAAGAAGAGGAGAUGCAGCGAGGGAGCGCUGGUCAAGCGUGUGAAGAGCCAGUUAGCGGCAGCCACCGGAGCUAGGUAAACCAGCGCAGGAGGGUCCAAAUCCAAUCUGUGGGAACGUUUGUGCUGCAAAUAGUCUUUGGAGCCAGCACAGGAGCUUAUGGCGUUCCCACAGGCUUCCACGAGGGAGCCGUCGCUCUCAUUAGCAGCACUUUGACAGAGGAGGGGAAGCGGUCAGACAGAAUGGCCGGGUCACGGACCAACAUUCCUCACGCUUCUGUCCUUAUUUCACUUCAACCUUUAUCGUUGGACGUUUGACAUCCUUUCUCAUUUUCUCAUUCACUGGCCACAUUUCCCUUCAAAUGAGCGGACUUUGCAUAUUUGCCGCCUGCAAUGAGACGUAGCACGACUUGAUGACUUUUUUUCUGUGUGUGUUGCCGUUUCAGCUCAAUCACAAAGCAAAGCGACACAAACUUAAAUGACCACUUUACAGUAGGUUUGACCAACUGUCAUCAGAGACAAACAUCCAUGUGCAUCUGCAUUCCAACCCUCUUGAUUUGCUGGAUGAAUGCUUUUAAUGUGAAAGAGCUGCUGUAGUAAAUGUUUACAUCUAUGAGAAAAUUCUAAUAAAAUAAUGAGUUUCACAGUGGCACACUCCAA